rnacentral:sRNA from 12 species
UGCCUAAACCCGUAAUCUUCGGGCAUGGCAAUAAAACUCGGUAAGAGAUAUUAAGCUCGUCGUCAGAGCUACUCUUACCGAGUCAUAUCCCGAAAGGGGUAUGGGUGGCCGAAAGGCUAUC